GAUGAACGCUGGCGGCGUGCCUAACACAUGCAAGUCGAACGGGUGUGGUAUCAGGGAAAAGGGGUUUACUUCUUUGACCAGAUAACACACUAGUGGCGGACGGGUGAGUAACGCGUGGAUAACCUGCCUUAUACAGGGGGAUAACAGGGAGAAAUUCUUGCUAAUACCCCAUAGGUAUGUCUGACGCAUGUUGGACAUAUUAAAGCUUUGGCGGUAUAAGAUGGGUCCGCGUCUGAUUAGCUAGUUGGUGGGGUAAAGGCCCACCAAGGCGACGAUCAGUAGCCGGCUUGAGAGAGUGGACGGCCACAUUGGGGACUGAGACACGGCCCAAACUCCUACGGGAGGCAGCAGUGGGGAAUAUUGCACAAUGGGGGAAACCCUGAUGCAGCGACGCCGCGUGAAGGAAGAAGGUCUUCGGAUCGUAAACUUCUAUCAGCAGGGAAGAAGGAAGUGACAGUACCUGAGUAAGAAGCCCCGGCUAACUACGUGCCAGCAGCCGCGGUAAAAGUC
rnacentral:rRNA from 1 species